rnacentral:rRNA from 1 species
CAGUCGAACGAGAGAGAAGGAGCUUGCUUCUUCGAUCGAGUGGCGAACGGGUGAGUAACGCGUGAGGAACCUGCCUCAAAGAGGGGGACAACAGUUGGAAACGACUGCUAAUACCGCAUAAGCCCACGGGUCGGCAUCGCCCUGAGGGAAAAGGAGUGAUCCGCUUUGAGAUGGCCUCGCGUCCGAUUAGCUAGUUGGUGAGGUAACGGCCCACCAAGGCGACGAUCGGUAGCCGGACUGAGAGGUUGAACGGCCACAUUGGGACUGAGACACGGCCCAGACUCCUACGGGAGGCAGCAGUGGGGAAUAUUGCACAAUGGGGGAAACCCUGAUGCAGCGACGCCGCGUGGAGGAAGAAGGUCUUCGGAUUGUAAACUCCUGUUGUUGAGGAAGAUAAUGACGGUACUCAACAAGGAAGUGACGGCUAACUACGUGCCAGCAGCCGCGGUAAAACGUAGGUCACAAGCGUUGUCCGGAAUUACUGGGUGUAAAGGGAGCGCAGGCGGGAAGACAAGUUGGAAGUGAAAUCUAUGGGCUCAACCCAUAAACUGCUUUCAAAACUGUUUUUCUUGAGUAGUGCAGAGGUAGGCGGAAUUCCCGGUGUAGCGGUGGAAUGCGUAGAUAUCGGGAGGAACACCAGUGGCGAAGGCGGCCUACUGGGCACCAACUGACGCUGAGGCUCGAAAGUGUGGGUAGCAAACAGGAUUAGAUACCCUGGUAGUCCACACCGUAAACGAUGAUUACUAGGUGUUGGAGGAUUGACCCCUUCAGUGCCGCAGUUAACACAAUAAGUAAUCCACCUGGGGAGUACGACCGCAAGGUUGAAACUCAA